CAAUAGCGUAUAUUAAAGUUGUUGCGGUUAAAAAGCUCGUAGUUGGAUUUCUGCUGAGAACGACCGGUCCGCCCUUUGGGUGUGUAUCUGGCUCUUUCUUGGCAUCUUCUUGGUGAACGUUGCUGCACUUGACUGUGUGGAGCGCUACCCAGGACUUUUACUUUGAGGAAAUUAGGGUGUUUCAAGCAGGCAUACGCCUUGAAUACAUUAGCAUGGAAUAAUAAGAUAGGACCUCGGUUCUAUUUUGUUGGUUUCUAGAGCUGAGGUAAUGAUUAAUAGGGAUAGUUGGGGGCAUUCGUAUUUAACUGUCAGAGGUGAAAUUCUUGGAUUUGUUAAAGACGGACUACCGCGAAAGCAUUUGCCAAGGAUGUUUUCAUUGA
rnacentral:rRNA from 1 species